AGCGUUUAUGGUUUCAGCAUAUAGAGCGUCGACACGGUAGAAGCCUAUAUAUACAGUACACUCCCGAUAACACGAACCUCCAAGGAACCAAAAAAAUAGUUCGAGUUAUCGAAUGUUCGACUUACCGGGGGCAAGAAAGAGUGCAUUGAGCUUUCGUUGAAUAUCUUCACCGCGCAUAGAGUAAAGAGCAUGUAGUCAUGCAGCACUUGCAAUGCCUCCCGAAUAUCGCUAACUUUGGGCAAACUGGGUCCAAAAGAACAUCCUCAUCAUCAUCCUCAUCACCAUCAUCUUCAUGCCUGCUGAUCUUUUUGUCAAAGUGAAGUGAAGUGAAGUUUUUGUCAACUUUGGAAGAACAAUUUAUAUCAUUGAAAGAAAAAUAGUCACUUUUUACUGA